AAAAAAAAAAAAAUAAAAAAAAAAAAAAAAAAAGACAAAAAAAAAAAAAAAAAAUAAAAAAAAAAAAAAAAAAAAAAAAAAAAAAAAAAAAAAAAAAAAAAAAAAAAAAAAAAAACAAAAAAAAAAAAAAAAAAAAAAAAAAAAAAAAAAAAAAAAAAAAAAAAAAAAAAAAAAAAAAAAAAAAAAAAAAAAAAAAAAAAAAAAAAAAAAAAAAAAAAAAAAAAAAAAAAAAAAGAAAAAAAAAAAAAAAAAAAAAAAAAAAAAAAAAACAAAAAAAAAAAAAAAAAAAAAAAAAUAUAAACAAAAAAAAAAAAAAAAAA
rnacentral:lncRNA from 1 species